GGGUACAGCAACUAAUUGCCUUUGCAAGCAGCCACCUGCAGGCAUAAAUUGUGAGCUUAACAUGGCAAAUGCUGAGGGACAGCCAAGUUUCUAAGACCAUCCAGUUGUCUUGAGGGCAUUGAAUUGUUCAACAUGCUGUGGCGCAUCCAAACUCCACGUGUAAGCCAUGCCAAGGAGACCAGAGAUAGUAGAUCCCAGAGGCUACCAAUGAGGAAGUGCUGUUGGGAGAUGUCCCACCAAAGGGAAAAGGCAGAUAGGGAAAGAUAAACGGAUGAAAGACAGUGUUGUGGAGAAGCAGUGUGGUUGUCUCGAGCAACAAUAAGCUCCGCAUCAUUCAUCACAGUUGCUCUCCAGACAGUCUUCCUCACAAAACCAUCUCUGAGACUACGUGUGUAUUGCCCUAUCCAACAUCAUACCAGCAUAGACAUGAAUUCAUUUCUGUGUGAGUGGAAGGUGACAACAUUGGCAAAUUAGUUUCAUUCUUGUGGAAAGGGUGCUGAGAAGUGUCUGGGAAGGCAACAAGUUAUUUUCAUCAAUUUACUGGCAUAAAAAGAUCUUAUAGGUCCUCUGAGAUGCCCAGUGACUACUUUUUUCACUGAUACUUGUUUCCAGCAAGUAUCAGAAGACUACAAAGAACUCCUCCCAGGAAAGUGAGAGCAACAUGUGGGGG
rnacentral:lncRNA from 1 species